rnacentral:rRNA from 1 species
CAGCAGUAGCCACGGUAAUACGUAGGUGGCAAGCGUUGUCCGGAAUUAUUGGGCGUAAAGGGCUCGCAGGCGGUUUCUUAAGUCUGAUGUGAAAGCCCCCGGCUCAACCGGGGAGGGUCAUUGGAAACUGGGAAACUUGAGUGCAGAAGAGGAGAGUGGAAUUCCACGUGUAGCGGUGAAAUGCGUAGAGAUGUGGAGGAACACCAGUGGCGAAGGCGACUCUCUGGUCUGUAACUGACGCUGAGGAGCGAGAGCGUGGGGAGCGAACAGGAUUAGAUACCCCCGUAGUCCCUGUCUCUUAUAC